rnacentral:rRNA from 1 species
UACGAAGGGGGGCUAGCGUUGCUCGGAAUCACUGGGCGUAAAGCGCACGUAGGCGGAUUUCUAAGUCAGGGGGUGAAAAUCCUGGAGCUCAACUCCAGAACUGCCUUUGAUACUGGGAAUCUCGAGUCCGGGAGAGGUGAGUGGAACUGCGAGUGUAGAGGUGAAAUUCGUAGAUAUUCGCAAGAACACCAGUGGCGAAAGGCGGCUCACUGGCCCGGUACUGACGCUGAGGUGCGAAAGCGUGGGGAGCAAACAGG